GCGCAGGCACGCAAGAACGACGUCGUGGUUGUUGCUUCAUUAGCUCUUGUGCUCUUUGGCAAUUAAGGCCUGUUGCUGCCGGAUCCCUUUCUGAUCGCUACUUCUGCAUGUGCCCUCGACUUGAAUUUGCUUCCAUCUGGCUACGCUCCGCAUAACAGUUUGGUAUACAUCUCCCGUUUUCAUCGGCCACUUUCGGACGGUGAUUUUGUCGUCUUUGUACCGAGGCUGUCUCGUGUGAGAUCGGAUCGGUUAUGCAGAUUGUAAUGUGCCGGUAGCAUUGGAAUUUGGAGUGCAGGAUUUAUGGACUUUCAGGCACAUGCAAUGCACGAGGCCGAAUAGUAGAUGAUUCAUGCCUAGAUUACUAUCUCGACGCUGCAAUUUCUGAGGCUGUAGGCGGGCGUUUUAAGUCCUCCACUGGCUUUGUCUCUUUGCUUUGAACUCUCUGGCACUCGUCAGGAAAUAAUUUCAAUGGACAGAAUAACGUGCCAAGGUUGCAAAAUAUUCAGAUGGAAUGUUGGCCUUUUGAAAUUGUUUCCAACGAAGUUCCGGAAGGGAACAGUUCAAAAAAGUUGAGAAGUUACCUUGCUUUGCCACCAUGGUUUAGUCUCUGGCAGUAUCGAAGCUUAAAUACUACAAGGCGAUCAAGAACGAUUUUUUCAUAGGGCUUCUGUUAUCGUUAAUUGGCACUGCUUGCGCAUGGAUAUGUUCAGCCUUCUCAACUUUGCUUAAGUUUGAUUUCAAGGGCUGGAUCCAUUUGGUUCAAUUUGAGCUCAUUUGUGCUGUUGUUAUCAUUUGGACAAUCUUUUCUAAAUGAACCAUGAUUUUGGCUCAUUUUUUUCAACUUGUGUAUUCGCCUGGUCAAUGCGUUCCGUUGUCAACAGUAAGGUCAGAACCCCGACCUAGUCUUAUGUUGUAAUCUGCGCAAUAGUUCGGUAGAAUCCUGAACUUGUGCUUCAUGGUUUGCAGAGCGCACCAUCGAUUCUUUCUUCUUUAAUUUAAAAAAUAAAUAAAUCAGAGCUCAAGACAGAAACCUGAACAAGGAGGUCCAUAAAGUCAAAUGGCGAAGAUAGUUCAGUAGAAAUGCUGACAUCUCUCUCUAGCGCAGGUCUAGCCGAGUCAGACUUUCCUAGUGUAAUUGGCUAUCGCUUUCUAUACAAAAUGAGACUCCAAGUUAAGAGCGCAAUUUUCAGAACGGAAGCAUACUAACAUGGAUCAUGGCAGUGGCGGUAUUGCAGUACUUUGAGCGAAAUAGCUUAAUGUAUGACAUUCACAAAACCAGCUUAAUAAUCUGGUUUGGGCGAUCACGGAUGGUGGACAUUGCAUCGGAACCUAGACUUCUUCAGGCAUGCAAGCAAUGAAAGUGCAGAAACACCAGGUGUUAUAUCUAUGUAACAACAAGCAGGUGCCUUCUCCUCCAACACCACGUCGCCUAGACAGACAAGAUCCUAGGUAGCAGUGCAAACAGAACUUCUGGUGGCAGAAUUUUUGUAGCCCACUUUAGUUGGCGAAAAUCAUUCAAGAUAUUUUCUGAUGGCCAUUUGUGGCGUUCGAAACGGCGGUUGAAACAAUCCUCGUCCCUACCUGAGCUUCACCAUUCACUUUGUGUAACAUCAUUCCAGUAGCCCUACGACUUAGAAUUGGCAUCGACAAACUAUUCAUUCUAAGGUGUAGCAAUACUGUUAAAUCCUUUUUCAUAUCCUUUACAGACAUUCGAAGGGGAAAUGUGUGGCGAGUCCACACGCCUUGAGCCACGAAAUUGUUACAUGGUGUAAGUGGUUGGUUUGCUUGAUAUUCACUUUAAAAGCUGAGCUUGUACCCAAUUGUGAUUCUGGUCAAUAAGUAUUUAACAUUAUUUCAAA